rnacentral:rRNA from 1 species
CAGAUUCCUACGGGAGGCAGCAGUGGGGAAUAUUGCACAAUGGGCGGAAGCCUGAUGCAGCAACGCCGCGUGCGGGAUGACGGCCUUCGGGUUGUAAACCGCUUUCGCCUGUGACGAAGCGUGAGUGACGGUAAUGGGUAAAGAAGCACCGGCUAACUACGUGCCAGCAGCCGCGGUGAUACGUAGGGUGCGAGCGUUGUCCGGAUUUAUUGGGCGUAAAGGGCUCGUAGGUGGUUGAUCGCGUCGGAAGUGUAAUCUUGGGGCUUAACCCUGAGCGUGCUUUCGAUACGGGUUGACUUGAGGAAGGUAGGGGAGAAUGGAAUUCCUGGCGGAGCGGUGGAAUGCGCAGAUAUCAGGAGGAACACCAGUGGCGAAGGCGGUUCUCUGGGCCUUUCCUGACGCUGAGGAGCGAAAGCGUGGGGAGCGAACAGGCUUAGAUACCCUGGUAGUCCACGCUGUAAACGGUGGGUACUAGGUGUGGGGUCCAUUCCACGGGUUCCGUGCCGUAGCUAACGCUUUAAGUACCCCGCCUGGGGAGUACGGCCGCAAGGCUAAAACUCAAAGGAAUUGACGGGGCCCCGCACAAGCGGCGGAGCAUGCGGAUUAAUUCGAUGCAACGCGUAGAACCUUACCUGGGUUUGACAUGGAUCGGGAGCGCUCAGAGAUGGGUGUGCCUCUUUUGGGGUCGGUUCACAUGUGGUGCAUGGCUGUCGUCAGCUCGUGUCGUGAGAUGUUGGGUUAAGUCCCGCAACGAGCGCAACCCUUGUUCACUGUUGCCAGCACGUUAUGGUGGGGACUCAGUGGAGACCGCCGGGGUCAACUCGGAGGAAGGUGGGGAUGACGUCAAGUCAUCAUGCCCCUUAUGUCCAGGGCUUCACGCAUGCUACAAUGGCUGGUACAGAGAGUGGCGAGCCUGUGAGGGUGAGCGAAUCUCGGAAAGCCGGUCUCAGUUCGGAUUGGGGUCUGCAACUCGACCUCAUGAAGUCGGAGUCGCUAGUAAUCGCAGAUCAGCAACGCUGCGGUGAAUACGUUCCCGGGCCUUGUACACACCGCC